GAUGUAAUUACAUUAAAAAAAAAUUAUUUGCCAUAUAACAAUAAUAACCAUACUAAUAAUAAUUAUAUAGAAUAUGAUAUUAAAAAUGAUAGUGAUAGAAAUUUUAAUAAAUGGAAUAACGAGAAUAACAACAAUGAUAAUAAUAACAAUAGUAAUAUUAAAAAUUAUAAUAACGACAUACAUGAUAAUAAACGAGUUUAUUAUCAAAAUGGGUGUCCAUAUUAUUUAAAUAUAGAUAUGCAAAAAAAUACGAAUAUGCAUGAUAAAUAUAAUUAUGAUAGUUUCAACAAUGGUUCAAACAAUAGCAAUGAUUUUUAUAACCAAUCAAAUGCUUAUAUAAAUAAUGACGUAUUAUAUAAUAAUGCAAAAGAUGAAGAUGCUGUUUACAUAAAACCAAAUAAUAUAAAUAUAAGAGCUUCAACACAAGAAAUAAUAAAUCGGAGCGAAUAUACAGUUACUGCAGCAGCAGCACCCCUUCCCUCACCAACACCUACACUACCAGCUUUAGAAUUAUGCCUAUCAUCAUCAAACCAACAGGUACGCUCACCACCACCAGAACAAUCGGUAUGCUUACCAUCAUCAGAACAAUCGAUAUGCUUAUUACCACCAGAACAAUCAGUAUCUUUACCACCACCAGAACAAUCGGUAUCCUUACCACCGUCAGACCAUUCGACAUGCUUACCACCGUCAGAACAAUCUGUAUCCAUACCAUCGUCAGACCAAGUUGUAUGUUUAUCUUCAGAUCAACCGACAUGCAUAGUACCCCCAGAUCAACCGAUAUGUAUUUCACCACAUUAUCACCUUAAAUACACAUCAGUAGACUUACCCACACCACUUUCCACGCACAACCGGAGUAUAAUAAAUAAUAAUUUGACAAGUAGUAAUAACGAAAUAAAAGAAAAAAACGAAACUAACUAUUAUCAAAUUGCACCAAAUAAUACUAACAUAAACUUAGGUAUUAUACAAAAUGACACGGACUAUUCUUUCAAUUUAAAAAACAGCAAGUUUAUGCACAAAGAAUACACGAUUAAUGUUAGAAAC
rnacentral:lncRNA from 1 species